ensembl:lncRNA
AUGGCAAAUACUAGCACCCUAGAUCCAGCAAGAGAGAGCUGUAUGUGGAAGCAGCAUUCAAGGUGUGUGACCAAUGCACACUGGAGUUUUACCCCAAUUUCACUGAAUCAGCUGGACCUAUUCUUUAAUAGUGACGGGAGCACGAAUCCUGAUUCAGGGCCAUUCGUUGUAGUGAGCGAUAUUAUAACACAAUCCACAUCUAGCUGAUUGUCACUAGGACAAGGCUGGCCCCAGUUAUACAUAGAAGCACCCUGUGCUCAUGGCACAGCCUGCAAGGUGGGAGGGAACUGGGGCAGUUCAAGACAGGGACACCUCCUAAGACUACUCCAGCGUGAAUGGGGUUGGACACCAACAUCUCUGUGAUUUUAUGGACCCUUUCCCCAAUCUUCAUCCAUUAGGUGGAGCCCUUUUUAGCCUCUCUUUGACCAUCAAGAUAGCUUUUUAUAUGGCAGGAUACUACAAGAUGAGGAAUAGCUUUCCUACCAAAGAACAUAAUUAGAAAACAGCUCUAAUAUAAGAGUUUACCCCCUCCACAUAAAAUGUGGACCAUUGUUGUUUCAAGAGUUCUGAAACUAAGGCAGUGAAGUUUUCCCAGGCUGGAUUGGGCUAAACAGGGUUGCCUCGAAGUGCGGUAUGAGAAUUAGAACAAUCCUUGCAUCCACAUGUGGGGAUUGGGUGGGUACAAUACAGGACACGACAACACACUUCCAAGCAACCUCAUUUAGCUGUUCCUCACUCAGAGCCUCCACGCCCCGCACCCUCUCUUGUCUCUUCCUCUGUGAGGAGAGGGAAAAACUGGAUUUUUAAUUUAUUAGUAAGUCACUGCAAUGGCUUGCCAUCAAAGUGAAACAACAUUGGACUGUAAGAAAGAGAAGAAAGGGAAAGGGAGGGAAAAAAGACAUUCCCCCUACAUCUCCUCAUCUGUCUACCCAUCUGUAGGGAGCAGGAGAAAGUUGAAUUUUAUUUUAUUUUAUCUUAUUUUAUUUAUUAAUAAGUGACAUUGCUGCAAUGGGUUACCAUUGAAGUGAAACAGCACUAGAUUAUAAAGAAAAAGAAGAGGCAAAGACACUAAUCUUUCAUUGCGGCAUAUGUGUAGCUGGACAUGGGGGUGGUAAGUAUUUCCCCAUCAAAAAGAGGAGAAUGGAUGGAUGAAGAUGAUUGUCUACAAGAGGAGAUUUGCUUGAGAGUCCACAAUAUCACCAAAUAUAAAUGGCCUAAAUCCCAUUGCUAAUCCCAAGUAAAGCUGGCUCAUUGAAUCAAUCACUGAAUGGUAGAUCACAUUAGCUUAAAUCCCACUGGGAAUCUCUAAAUGGGAUUAAUAACUGGAUUUCAGUCAAUAACAUCGUUUAGGCUCAGGAAGAAGAAAUUAGAAUCAGCUUUUUUUUAAAAAAAAAAAAGGAAAAUGAAAGAAGAAAAAUGACGUUCUUUUGUCUUCAGUGAACCUUUUAACAAACCUUAUAAGGCCAAUUAAUCAGAUUUUCAGCAACAUUAGGUUUCCUAUUUUGCAAAGUUGGAUAUGAGGUGUUUUUAAACAAAAAAUAACAACAAAAAACAACAACACAACAAAACAAACAAAACCUUUGUGCCCUGUUAGGAUACCUUCCAGAGCUGACAUUACAUGAGGAUUUUGGUAAAAAGCAUAAUUAGCUGCCCUGAAGGUCCUCUUUGCAUUACAGGAUAUUUUCCUUAUCUUGUUCAUUACUAGGCUAAGAUAGUGCUGCUUCGAAUAUUGUAAUGUAAAUAUAAAAAGUGAUAUGAAAUAGUGAGUCUAACAAUCGCUAAGCCUUAGGCACCAAUGAUUGCAUAUGAGAGAAGAUAGCUGAAAAGUAUAAAAACAAAAUGUGGUUAUUUUUGUUUGUUUGUUUGUUUUAGUUUGUUGACAAGGGUAACAGAACAGCUACAUUCAGUUGUCUGACAGGUGAGCUCUGCAUGUGUGCGUUACAUGUACACAAAUACACACACUGCAUCGUUUAAGGUGCUUUCAGUAAUAAUAAGACAACAUUUUUAGCAAACUAACAACAAUUAAAAACUAAUCGCUUUCCUUUACAUUUAACAGUUUUAAUAGAAAGAAAAACAUUUCUCCCUAGGACUCCCAAGCUAGAGUUGUGACGAGUAUGUAGAUGUUCAAGAAACACACAUUUGUCGUGGCAAUUUGUUUUGUUUGCAUUUCUUUACUUCCCAAGCUAAAACAACCAGUUAAGUGGCUCUUCAUCAGGGUUUUAUGAAUGGCUGGCCUUAGUUUAAGUUUAUUUAAGCCUCCUGCAAUAACUGCUCGGGAAAACUAAGGAAACUGCUAUCUAGAUCAACAACAGAUGGAUUUGGCUGGACAUAUUUCCAUUCCAGAGUUCGGUGGUUCCCCAACGCAAUGUUUGUUCCCCCGUGGCAACCACAGAGCACUUGCGCCUGGCAGUGGCUCGCCACUCCCUUCAGUGGAGGGAAGGCUUUUGGUGCUUUUUGUGCCCUCUUCCAGAGAAAAGCCAUUCCCAGUGAAGUGAAUGGAGCAGCCUUUGCAGCCACAGGACACUCGGGUUGCCCAUGAAAGCUCUGUGCCCACAGAAACCAAUGGAUGGCGCAAACAGCAAAAAUUAUCCCACUAUAAAAAAAAUUAGCAAAUUAAAUUAAAUUUCUUAUAGUGCAAUUCCAUGUAUACUUAGAAGUCAGCCCCUUUCAAUUCAAUAAACGUUCCUCUCUGGAAAGUGUGUAAAGGGGU